GGGCAAUAGCUGAGUGGUAGAGCAUCUGCUUUGCAUGCAGAAGGUUUCAGGUUCAAUCCCAAACAUCUCCA